CUUCGGAGCAGUGGCGGACGGGUGAGUAACGCGUGGGAAUAUGCCCUUUGGUACGGAACAACUGAGGGAAACUUCAGCUAAUACCGUAUGUGCCCUUCGGGGGAAAGAUUUAUCGCCAUUGGAGUAGCCCGCGUUGGAUUAGCUAGUUGGUGAGGUAAAGGCUCACCAAGGCUACGAUCCAUAGCUGGUCUGAGAGGAUGAUCAGCCACACUGGGACUGAGACACGGCCCAGACUCCUACGGGAGGCAGCAGUAGGGAAUCUUGCGCAAUGGGCGAAAGCCUGACGCAGCCAUGCCGCGUGAAUGAUGAAGGUCUUAGGAUUGUAAAAUUCUUUCACCGGGGAAGAUAAUGACGGUACCCGGAGAAGAAGCCCCGGCUAACUUCGUGCCAGCAGCCGCGGUAAUACGAAGGGGGCUAGCGUUGCUCGGAAUUACUGGGCGUAAAGGGCGCGUAGGCGGACAGUUUAGUCAGAGGUGAAAGCCCAGGGCUCAACCUUGGAAUUGCCUUUGAUACUGGCUGUCUUGAGUUCGGGAGAGGUGAGUGGAAUGCCGAGUGUAGAGGUGAAAUUCGUAGAUAUUCGGCGGAACACCAGUGGCGAAGGCGACUCACUGGCCCGAUACUGACGCUGAGGCGCGAAAGCGUGGGGAGCAAACAGGAUU
rnacentral:rRNA from 1 species